rnacentral:rRNA from 1 species
CCUACGGGCUGCAGCAGUGGGGAAUAUUGGACAAUGGGCGAAAGCCUGAUCCAGCAAUGCCGCAUGAGUGAUGAAGGCCUUAGGGUUGUAAAGCUCUUUUACCCGGGAUGAUAAUGACAGUACCGGGAGAAUAAGCCCCGGCUAACUCCGUGCCAGCAGCCGCGGUAAUACGGAGGGGGCUAGCGUUGUUCGGAAUUACUGGGCGUAAAGCGUACGUAGGCGGCUUUGUAAGUUAGAGGUGAAAGCCCGGGGCUCAACCCCGGAAUUGCCUUUAAGACUGCAUCGCUUGAAUCAUGGAGAGGUGAGUGGAAUUCCGAGUGUAGAGGUGAAAUUCGUAGAUAUUCGGAAGAACACCAGUGGCGAAGGCGACUCACUGGACAUGUAUUGACGCUGAGGUACGAAAGCGUGGGGAGCAAACAGGAUUAGAUACCCCCGUAG